AGAAAUCACAAGCAAUCGUCAGCUCACCCCACGCUGCCAGACCCAACACAUGGACCGGUGCGGCCCAACACCAUGGAAACAGGGCAAUAAAGAAAGGAAUGUCCAGCGAGCAGAGCCACCAACCAGGAUCUGGCAAUGAUUACUUGGACAGAGAGCUCCAGGCUGCUGCAUUCCGGGCACAGACACCGACCCCAAAUUCUCACUUAUGGCUGAUUAAAAGAAGCCAGAAGCAACAAAUAUUAUUUUUAAUGAGGGAAGAAAUGAGGAAAGAGAACUUUAAACCUGAAACAAUAGAAACAAAAGACGCGGAGAUGACAAAAAUGACAAAAGAAUGAACGUAUAUAAACAGAUACCUAUAUAUAUGCAUUCAUGCGGAG